GCAGGGUUCCUCAACUAUACAAAUCAAUCAACUUAAAUUUUAAAAUAUAUUAUACUAUUAACGGUAGGUCCAUAAUAUCACAUUAAUUUCAAUUUAAUAUUAUUAUUAUUGUUUUUUUUUCUAGCGAAACUUGCCCUAUUUGUUUCAACGAUGUGUGGGAAUGAUCCUAAUGGCUUUUGUACAACUUACAUGGUAAAGAACCAAUUCCAAAAUACUCUUACAAGAAUGAUGACAAUGAUUACUUAAAUAUUUUGUUUAGUCAUUUUAAUAUAAAUAUUAAUUUUAUUGUGUAAUUCAAUAUUUAAUCACAUUAAUCAUUAUAUUAUGUAUGACAAUAUUCUAAUUACAAAUGCAUACUAGUUACUACUAGGUGUAAUAAUUCAUACUAAAAUAAAUGCGAUGUUUUCGGCAAAAAAUAA